AUGGAAGACAGAUCAAUAAAGACAAUUACCAGUGUCCGCAAGGAAUAAGGACUGUCGCUGUAAUGGGGGAAGUCCUCACAAACAUUAAUGAUGGUGCAUACCAUAGUUCUGUACUGCAGUCUGGAAAGUUACUCCCAAAAUCAAGCUCAAGCAGUAAUACACAGCUUGAUAUUUCAGCUUCUGCAAAUGAUGCAACUUCAACAGUGAAAGAUGUGGUCAAGUGUAGCAUAUCCAGUCAGCAAGGUUUGUUAAUACUGUAGGUUGUUCUUUUAGAUGAGGUUUUAAUCGGUCACAAAUGAGGUACAAAUGUAUAUCAUCUGAUCAAAUCUCAGAAAAAGUUGUAACAGUUUAGCUUUGUUGAGUUUAAAUUAAAGCUCAAGAUAAGAUGAUAUUGCAAGUACUCUGUUGUUUUUUGCUGCUUUUUGUGUCGCUUGCAUCAGAGUUGUGGCAACA